GAGCAUGUGUUGACGAAACUGUCAAAUUCUAUUGCGGCUGCUCUUUUAACGUUGGAGAAUUCAGCAAUCAUGUCCCUCAAUGCUGGUAGUCCCAACAACAGAUAAAGAAGAAGAUCACAGCAAUGGCCAGAGUGAUUGCAGCUGUGACAACAAUGGCUGCCACAACUUUUCCAUUUGACGAUGAGGACUCCUCCAUUGCCUGUUUCCGGGCAGGAGGUCCCAAGAGUUGAGGCAUCAGCAUUUCCCUAUCAUGAUCGGGAGAGACUGCUUCAUAACUUGCAGAUCUUAUCAUUGAACUUGCAGGUGAAGAAUCAAAUGCAGGAGAAAUUUCUGUCUUCUGUGAGGAGUUUUGUUUACAAUAAGAAUGAGAAAGGGGAGGGGAGAAAAACAGUAAGAAAAUGAGACAUGGAUGGAACCGCGACUGGACCAUCAUUCCGACGUGAACCAGGGACAAGGAUGUAGAGAAAGGGAGAGAAUCUUGGUUGUUUUAGUUCAUUGUGGCUAUCAGCGGCUUUUGAGCAAUUUCCUGUCUUCUGCAUUGUGUUAUUUCUGACAGCUUCAAUGAAGGUAGUUGUUGUUAGCA